AGUGAACGCUGGCGGUAGGCCUAACACAUGCAAGUCGAACGGCAGCACAGUAAGAGCUUGCUCUUACGGGUGGCGAGUGGCGGACGGGUGAGGAAUACAUCGGAAUCUACUUUUUCGUGGGGGAUAACGUAGGGAAACUUACGCUAAUACCGCAUACGACCUACGGGUGAAAGCAGGGGAUCUUCGGACCUUGCGCGAUUGACUGAGCCGAUGUCGGAUUAGCUAGUUGGCGGGGUAAAGGCCCACCAAGGCGACGAUCCGUAGCUGGUCUGAGAGGAUGAUCAGCCACACUGGAACUGAGACACGGUCCAGACUCCUACGGGAGGCAGCAGUGGGGAAUAUUGGACAAUGGGCGCAAGCCUGAUCCAGCAAUACCGCGUGUGUGAAGAAGGCCUUCGGGUUGUAAAGCCCUUUUGUUGGGAAAGAAAAGCAGCAGGUUAAUACCCCGCUGUUCUGACGGUACCCAAAGAAUAAGCACCGGCUAACUUCGUG
rnacentral:rRNA from 1 species